rnacentral:lncRNA from 1 species
UUUUCUUCCAACAAAGUCGUCCCCUUUCCUCUGCCAAACCCUUAGUUUGUUUUUUUAAUUUCUUUGAUUUCAAGAGGCACUCCAAUUAUACAAGAGGUUAUCCAAUAGCGCCACUGCUCGGAGCUUGCUCGACGUGCCGCGACGUCUCAUCUCUCCCGACGAAGCGGAAGCUGCCGUUGCUCUGGUUCGAUGAUGCUGCGUCUUUCUUGCCGGGAAUCGACGCGCCACCGUUGCUCCCUCCUCGGUUCUCUCUCUUUACAACUCAAGGGAGGGUGGGGUCUUCUUCUAGGCUGAGCCCUAGCUGCACUUCCUCGUUAAUCGCCAUCGCCGUGUUCUGGAUUCUAGCAGCGAAAGUUACGCCGCUGCUGUUCCUGGCAAUUCCCAUCUUCUCGUCGCUCGGCGUCGAUCCACGGCUCACCCCCCUGGAACAGGGACCGCUGCCUUCCCUUAAUCACCUAAAGCUAAGCCCUUCUUCCUCUUUAUGUUCUAUGGGGUAAAUUCAAAUGAUGUUUUGUGUACUAAUUAACCCUAGUGGAGUUGUGGCUCUCCUUGCUUGUUCAUAAGUGAAUUUGGGCAUUCUUGAGGUAAGAUAGCUAAAUAUUUGAUGCUUAUGUAAUUGAACUCUUGGGAGCGUGGAAUGUGAUUAUGUGAUAAAAAUUGGGGGAUAUUGGGCAUGUUACUAUGUGUUGAGCCAAUUUUGAUUUAUGAAUAAGGGAAGAACUACUUUUAGUAUUGAUUGGAGAAGUUGUGGUGAUUAAUUGUGUUAUAACUUGCUUGCUUUGUGUUGAUGAGUUAAACAUGAGUUAAAUUUCAAGCUAAAGCAUGCUAAUGUGUAGUAAGAUGAUGUAAUUGAGUUCCUAUGGUUUGUAUUUGACAAACGUAUGAAUUAUAUGUUAAGUUGAAACAAAGGGGCUUUGCUGUCAGUUUUCGGCUUGACAGGGCAGUAUGUUUCGGGGUACUUUUGAUGAUGUUUUCGUAGUCCAAAUAACUUGAAAUUUUUACUGUAAUAACUUCAUCAUGUGUAGUCGUUCUCUGCAAAAUUUCAGCUAAAUCCGAGACCAAUAGACAUGUCAAACUAUUUUCUGAAAUGUACUGCACGGAGCAGCAGAGUUCAGCGGCAGAUUCUGUCUUUGGUCAUAUAACUUCUUAUCCACUUGAGAUAUUGUGUUUUUGUAAAUUUCUGAGAAAUAUAGACGUUAAUAGCUUUCUAAAGAAGUGAGGUUUAUAUUUUUCUUUGAAGUGGUUGAUUUUAUAUAAUUUUUUCAAAGUUAGGAUUCAAAUGGGUAUGUUUCUUAAACUUGUGAUUGGUAGUUAAUGGAGAUCCUAAACUACUAAACUCAAAUUAAGGUUUUAUUGUUCUAAUUACCUAUUAAGGAUUAUUGAUUACUAAGCUUGUUAAUAUGAUAGUUGAUGGAUAUAAUUAUGUUUAUAUGAUUAAUUACUUUGGGUAUUUUAUGUUUUUACAUGUAUGGUUAGUUGUAAACUGAUCUCUAUGAAAUGGAUUUGUUUACUUUAAACUUUCUCAAGUAGAGGAAUUCCUAUAAGAUAGGAAUAUUAGUUUAUACUUUCUUAAAGUUCAUAAGAGUUAGUAUAUUGGUUAGUUUAGUUGAUUCAACCCUAGCUCUGCAGAAGAUUAAAAGUUUAUUGGGAUGUUAUUUAUAGCUAAUUCUUCUUAUCUAGUUAUCCAAUCUUAUUUUAGAAUCUUGCUAUUAUGAAGGUGACAAUAGCAAUGAUAGAUAAGUGAGCAAGAGUUCCUACACCGUUAAGCGUAUCAGGUGGGCAUUACUUUCAUAUAUAUCAAAUGAGUUUAAAUGUUACGUUCAAGCAAGUUAUUUCAUGACUAAAUUAAUUGAAGUUAUUUCAAAUAUUGUCUUGCCAUAAAAUGUUUAAAUUUCAGUAUGAUAUCUAUCUGAUGUGACUUUAAUCAUGUAAUCGAAUUCGGGUCUUGAGCAGUUGAUAGCUAUCCUGCCAGGGCUAGUGUACACCAGUGACCGUGAGUCAUCUAGCGGGUUGGCCGGUCAAGUGACCGUGAGAGGUGGCCACCUCUCCGGCACACAGUUCCAGAUAUGAUAGAUUACAAGAGAACUUAGACUGCAGUCGAACUUUAAGAAUCACAACUGAAUUUAGUAAGCUUGGGCCUUUUAGCGAAAAACCCCUUGCUGUACUACUUAUGAUGGCAUGACAAUUUAAAUCUUUACGAAGCAUGUUAUAUUUCAUAGUAGGCAUAUGUGCCCACUGAGUAUUUUUAUACUCAGCCCUGCAUGUAUUUCUAAAUGUGCAGGUUGAGCAGCUGAUGGAAUGGAAUGAUGUUGAGCGGGUGUUCUUUUGACAUUUCAAGAAAUGUAACCUUGAGUAUACAUCUUCAUAUGUAUAUCUCACACGUUUUUCCGCUGCAAAACACUUUGAUUAGAAUAACUCUAUGUUAUGAAGAACGCGAACACGUGUUAUUGGAUAACCCACCUUAAUCAGUUCUCCUUCAUGUGUAUGUUUUAUAAGUAUCCAAAUGAUCAUAUAUGAUCCUAGCAUCUUAUCUAUGAGUGACAUUCUCAUAUACCUUAAUGUUAAGUAAUUGUCCAUUUUCAUUUCUUAUUGUUCACCCCAAGUCAUAACCCCGGCUAAAUUUGUCAUUAAGGGUUGCGGGC